rnacentral:rRNA from 1 species
UACGGGGGGGGCAAGCGUUGUUCGGAAUUACUGGGCGUAAAGGGCUCGUAGGCGGCCAACUAAGUCAGACGUGAAAUCCCUCGGCUUAACCGGGGAACUGCAUCUGAUACUGGAUGGCUUGAGAUUGGGAGAGGGAUGCGGAAUUCCAGGUGUAGCGGUGAAAUGCGUAGAUAUCUGGAGGAACACCGGUGGCGAAGGCGGCAUCCUGGACCAACACUGGCGCUGAGGAGCGAAAGCCAGGGGAGCAAACGGG